rnacentral:rRNA from 1 species
GACGAACGCUGGCGGCGUGCUUAACACAUGCAAGUCGAGCGCGAAAGGGGGGGCAACCCCCGAGUAGAGCGGCGCACGGGUGAGUAACACGUGGGUAACCUACCCUCGAGUGGGGGAUAACACUUCGAAAGGGGUGCUAAUCCCGCAUAAGACCACGGGAACUUCGGUUCCUGAGGCCAAAGGGGCGGAGCAAUCCGACACGCUGGAGGACGGGCCCGCGGCCCAUCAGCGAGUUGGUGAGGUAACGGCCCACCAAGGCUUCGAUCAGUAGCCGGACUGAGAGGUUGGCCGGCCACAUUGGGACUGAGAUACGGCCCAGACUCCUACGGGAGGCAGCAGUGGGGAAUAUUGCACAAUGGGCGAAAGCCUGAUGCAGCAACGCCGCGUGAGUGAUGAAGGCCUUCGGGUUGUAAAGCUCUGUCUUUUGGGACGAUAAUGACGGUACCAAAGGAGGAAGCCACGGCUAACUACGUGCCAGCCGCCGCAGUAAGAC